rnacentral:rRNA from 1 species
UACAGAGGGGGCAAGCGUUGUUCGGAAUUACUGGGCGUAAAGGGCCAGUAGGCGGCCAACUAAGUCGGAUGUGAAAUCCCCAGGCUUAACCUGGGAACUGCAUCCGAUACUGGAUGGCUUGAAUUCGGGAGAGGGAUGUGGAAUUCCAGGUGUAGCGGUGAAAUGCGUAGAUAUCUGGAGGAACACCGGUGGCGAAGGCGACAUCCUGGACCGGUAUUGACGCUGAGGCGCGAAAGCCAGGGGAGCAAACGGG